CAAGUCGAGCGCUCAUUUUCCUGUAGCAAUAUAGGGAAGUGGGAGCGGCGCAAGGGUGCGUAACACGUGGAUCAUCUGCCUGGAAGUUCGGAAUAAUUCGGCGAAAGCCGGACUAAUGCCGGAUGUGGUUGGAAGACUAAAGUUGGGGACCGUAAGGCCUGACGCUUCCAGAUGAGUCCGCGGCCUAUCAGCUAGUUGGCGGGGUAACGGCCCACCAAGGCUAAGACGGGUAGCUGGUCUGAGAGGACGACCAGCCACACUGGAACUGAGACACGGUCCAGACACCUACGGGUGGCAGCAGUCGAGAAUUUUUCUCAAUGGGGGAAACCCUGAAGGAGCGACGCCGCGUGGGGGAUGAAGGGCUUCGGCCCGUAAACCCCUGUCAUUUGCGAACAAACCUUGUCUGUUAACAGUAGGCAAGUUGAUUGUAGUGAAAGAGGAAGGGACGGCUAACUCUGUGCCAGCAGCCGCGGUAAUACAGAGGUCCCAAGCGUUGUUCGGAUUCACUGGGCGUAAAGGGUGCGCAGGUGGGUUUGCAAGUUCGAUGUGAAAGCCCCGGGCUUAACCCGGGAAUGGCAUUGGAUACUGCAGAUCUGGAGGAUCGGAGGGGGGACUGGAAUUCUUGGUGUAGCAGUGAAAUGCGUAGAUAUCAAGAGGAACACCAGUGGCGAAGGCGAGUCCCUGGACGAUACCUGACACUGAGGCACGAAAGCUAGGGGAGCAAACAGGAUUAGAUACCCUGGUAGUCCUAGCUGUAAACGGUGCGCAUUUGCUGUAAACGGAAUCGACCCCGUUUGUGGCGAACCUAACGCGAUAAAUGCGCCGCCUGGGGAAGUACGGUCGCAAGAUUAAAACUCAAAAAAUUGACGGGGGCCUGCACAAGCGGUGGAGUAUGUGGCUAAUUCGA
rnacentral:rRNA from 1 species